UGGGGAAUUUUGGACAAUGGGCGAAAGCCUGAUCCAGCAAUGCCGCGUGUGUGAAGAAGGCCUUCGGGUUGUAAAGCACUUUUGUCCGGAAAGAAAUGGCUCUGGUUAAUACCUGGGGUCGAUGACGGUACCGGAAGAAUAAGGACCGGCUAACUACGUGCCAGCAGCCGCGGUAAUACGUAGGGUCCAAGCGUUAAUCGGAAUUACUGGGCGUAAAGCGUGCGCAGGCGGUUGUGCAAGACCGAUGUGAAAUCCCCGAGCUUAACUUGGGAAUUGCAUUGGGGACGGCACGGCUAGAGUGUGUCAGAGGGGGGUAGAAUUCCACGGGUAGCAGUGAAAGGCGUAGAGAUGUGGAGGAAUACCGAUGGCGAAGGCAGCCCCCUGGGAUAACACUGACGCUCAUGCACGAAAGCGUGGGGGGCAAACAGG
rnacentral:rRNA from 1 species